AGAACGAACGCUGGCGGCAGGCCUAAUACAUGCAAGUCGAACGCACUCUUCGGAGUGAGUGGCAGACGGGUGAGUAACGCGUGGGAACCUUCCCAAUGGUACGGAAUAACUCCGGGAAACCGGUGCUAAUACCGUAUAAGCCCCUCGGGGGAAAGAUUUAUCGCCAUUGGAUGGGCCCGCGUCGGAUUAGCUAGUUGGUAAGGUAAUGGCUUACCAAGGCUACGAUCCGUAGCUGGUCUGAGAGGAUGUCCAGCCACACUGGAACUGAGACACGGUCCAGACUCCUACGGGAGGCAGCAGUGGGGAAUCUUGCACAAUGGGCGAAAGCCUGAUGCAGCGACGCCGCGUGGGGGAUGAAGCAUUUCGGUGUGUAAACCCCUUUCGACCGGGAAGAAUGCCUCGCAAGAGGAGUGACGGUACCGGUAUAACGAAGCCCCGGACUAACUACGUGCCAGCAGCCGC
rnacentral:rRNA from 1 species